UACGGAGGGUGCAAGCGUUGAUCGGAAUUACUGGGCGUAAAGCGCACGCAGGCGGAUUCUUAAGUCAGGGGUGAAAUCCCCGGGCUCAACCUGGGAACUGCAUCUGAUACUGGCAAGCUUGAGUCCCGUAGAGGGGGGUAGAAUUCCAGGUGUAGCGGUGAAAUGCGUAGAUAUCUGGAGGAAUACCAGUGGCGAAGGCGGCCCCCUGGACGAAGACUGACGCUCAGGUGCGAAAGCGUGGGGAGCAAACAGG
rnacentral:rRNA from 1 species